CAGUCGCCACGGGAAUACGGAGGGUGCAAGCGUUAUCCGGAUUUAUUGGGUUUAAAGGGUCCGUAGGCGGAUCUGUAAGUCAGUGGUGAAAUCUCACAGCUUAACUGUGAAACUGCCAUUGAUACUGCAGGUCUUGAGUAAAUUUGAAGUGGCUGGAAUAAGUAGUGUAGCGGUGAAAUGCAUAGAUAUUACUUAGAACACCAAUUGCGAAGGCAGGUCACUAAGAUUUAACUGACGCUGAUGGACGAAAGCGUGGGGAGCGAACAGGAUUAGAUACCCCCGUAGUCCCUGUCUCUUAUAA
rnacentral:rRNA from 1 species